rnacentral:rRNA from 1 species
UACGUAGGGUGCAAGCGUUGUCCGGAAUUAUUGGGCGUAAAGCGUGCGUAGGCGGCUAUGUAAGACAGAUGUGAAAUCCCUGGGCUUAACCUAGGAACUGCAUUUGUGACUGCAUUGCUGGAGUGUGGUAGAGGGAGAUGGAAUUCCGCAUGUAGCAGUGAAAUGCGUAGAUAUGCGGAGGAACACCAAUGGCGAAGGCAAUCUCCUGGACCUGCACUGACGCUCAUGCACGAAAGCGUGGGGAGCAAACAGG